rnacentral:rRNA from 1 species
ACGAACGCUGGCGGCGUGCCUAAUACAUGCAAGUAGAACGCUGAAGAGAGGAGCUUACUCUUCUUGGAUGAGUUGCGAACGGGUGAGUAACGCGUAGGUAACCUGCCUUGUAGCGGGGGAUAACUAUUGGAAACGAUAGCUAAUACCGCAUAACAAUGGAUGACACAUGUCAUUUAUUUGAAAGGGGCAAUUGCUCCACUACAAGAUGGACCUGCGUUGUAUUAGCUAGUAGGUGAGGUAAUGGCUCACCUAGGCGACGAUACAUAGCCGACCUGAGAGGGUGAUCGGCCACACUGGGACUGAGACACGGCCCAGACUCCUACGGGAGGCAGCAGUAGGGAAUCUUCGGCAAUAGGGGCAACCCUGACCGAGCAACGCCGCGUGAGUGAAGAAGGUUUUCGGAUCGUAAAGCUCUGUUGUAAGUCAAGAACGGGUGUGAGAGUGGAAAGUUCACACUGUGACGGUAGCUUACCAGAAAGGGACGGCUAACUACGUG